CAAUGACUUGUUGGGUACGGACAGGCAUAGACGUAGGAAUCAGUURAUGAGAAUUGUUAUCUGAUAGAACAUGUUCUAUCAGAUCAAAUMYUCAUUAUCCUACUAUAGCUUGGCAAGAGUUUGUCCAGUACUGGCAUCAAAAGAGAAACAGACUAGUGUUAACAUGUUUUACUCAGUUACUGUACCUUCAAGUAGGUAUUAAUUCACUUYUUCACCUGAUAAACAACUCAUGAGGCACCAUCACCCUCUAGUGACCAUGCUGUGUAGGCUGAGAUCACCCUCUAGUGACGCAUGCCUGUUUGUAGGCUGAGAUCACCUCUAUGACCAUGCUGUGCGGCUGAUAUCACCUCUAGUGACCAUGCUGUGCAGCUGAGACACCCUCUAGUGACCAUGCUGUGUAGGCUGAGAUCACCCCUAUAGUGACCAUGCUGUGUAGGCUAAGAUCACCCUCUUGUGACCAUGCUGUACAGGCUGAGAUCACCCUCUAGUGACCAUGCUUACAGGCUGAGAUCACCCUCUAGUGACCAUGCUGUACAGGCUGAGACCACCCUCUAGUGACCAUGCUGUGUAGGCUGAGAUCACCCUCUAGUGCCAUGCUGUGUAGGCUGAGAUCACCCUCAGUGGCCAUGCUGUGCAGGCUGAGAUCACCUCAGGGCCAUGCUGUGCAGGCUGAGUUCUUCUACAUUCACGCAACUAAAUAACUUCAACAUUCAAUGUGAUUCUACCUCUAAUCCACUGUAAAGAAUCUCAUUCAGUCAGUAAAUGAACAAAGCAUUUUUUUUAUUAACGACAUGUCUGACAAUCAGCACCGAAUCAGCAAACUGAUCACAAUAAUGUAGCAGUAUCCUACAAGUACACAAGAAGAAAAUACUGUACACAGUAGUACAUACAACAUCUGAGACUCCAGUUUAAGGGUCACAUUUCAUGACCUCUCUGAGGCGAUGGUGGCGAGCAGGAGGAGUCCAGGUCAAAGUUCAACGUCAAACAGUUGUGUCUGUGUCAGAGGACUGCACCGUUGACUCCCCCUCUCCAUACCCGCACGCUCUCCCCUCCUCUCUGCAUCUCCAGACCUCCAGGUCAGUUGUGUCUGUGUCAGGGUACUCACCGUUGACUCCCCUUCUCCAUUACCCUGCACGUCUCCCCUCCUCUCUGCCUCUCCAGACCUCCAGGUCUAGUUGUGUCUGUGUCAGGGUGCUGUGGUACCGCUCCACUAGCCUGUGACUUUCCAUUCCACUCCUGUUGCCUCUCCCCAGCUCCUGCCGCUCCAGCUGUAGGUCAGGCUAUGUGGGAUGGCCAGUAAGGGGCGGUAGCAACCAGGGAGGUUCAGCUUGAGAGGAGUGACUCUGAAACGACAGCUCUGUAGUCCAUCCCUCGCCAGUCUUCCCUGGUACCAGCCCCCACAGGGUUCUCUGGGUACUUCACACUGUUGCAAGCAUGGGAAGAACCACCUGAUGGAAGAGCACAGCAGAAGUGAACAAUGGAUUCAAUAGAAUCAUAACCCAUUUGAUUUGUGUAGUGUUUUGUGGAUGUAGGUUUCACCGGCUCGGCAACGCACUCAGACACACACCCAUGUUUGCAGAGUAGAUUAUGUUAUGGUCAGGUCUGUCGACAGGGGGUGGCAGGUGUGUGUGUGUGUGUGUGUGUCAUACCUGUCCAGUGGUAGACUUCCUCCUCCUCCUCUGCCGCAGUACAACAUGAUCUGGGGGGAGUAGAGAGUGCAAAGGUCCAUCUCAGUACCAUCUUUAUGACUGGUUCAAUCUCAGUGAGCGAGUAUCACUGGGUGUCACACUCAAACAUAGAGCCUAGGGCCAACUCUCUAGCACCGAUUAAAAACAUUCACACAAGUGACUUUGACUGUUUAUGACUCCGUUAUUAAGUCAUCCUGGAACUGAACUACCUGAGGUAAGCUGGUUCUCCCGCCUCUAUCCCCUCCUCUCUCCUCUGCUUCCAGACCAGAUCUCCCGCCUGGCCUGUGGCCCAGCGUGGUCAGCCUGUGUGCAGCCGCCUCGUUCCAGACCCGGCUGCAAAUCAAAACAAUCUUUAUUGAUAUAGUAACUAUAUAAAAGUGAGUGAAGAGGAAGAAGGAAAUACAAAUGAAAGUAGGAAUACAAAUAGAACCAUAAAGGAUUCAGAAUAUUAAAGCAAUUAAUAGGUGAUAUGGAGCCCAGACCUGCAGUAUCGUGGGGGUAGAAGACCCUCAUUCCCAUGGGGCAGGCGGAGCCAGGCACGGGUGCAGCCUCUGGGCCCGUCCCAUAGCGAUGUAGGGCCCUCAGCAUCACCUCUCUCUGGCCUUGGACAUGGGCAUCAAACAGGGCCUCCUUGGCAUUAUCUGAGGAGAUGAGGGAGGAGAGGGUGGAGGAACAGGGUCAGAAUGGAGAAGAGUAGAAAUGAAAUACAUGUCAAAAGAAAAUCCUUCUGUAUUAUUGACUGUAUGUUUGGUUUAUUCCAUGUGUAACUCUGUGUUGUUGUUUGUGUUCGCACUGCUUGCUUUAUCUUGGCCAGGUCGCAGUUGUAAAUGAGAACUUCUUCCAACUGGCCACCUGGUUAAAUAAAGUUGAACAUUUUUUAAUCUGAAAAGGUUGGGUCCAUACAACAGAGAACAUGGUAAACAGGAAAUGGUGACUAGUGUAAGCAGCAAUUUCUCACCAGUCUGGAGGAAGUGUCUCUUGGCAACGCUCUGAGGGUCAUCACCUUCUUCUGGUGUGAAAAACAGACGGACAGCUGCCACCUGAGACACAAAAAGACAACCCACCAACAAGUCAGACAGAACAAAUAGAAACAUUGACAUCCACUGUUUUCAGUUUCUUGUAAUAUAAGAACACAGAAGAUGUAACUGUACCAUUUCCCUUGAGCAGGGCCAGUCCGACGCGGUCAGACUGAACACUCUGUCCAUCCCAAACCCUGAGGUCCAUAGUAGUUCACAAACCCUUGACCUAAAAGAAUGGACAUUAAUAACUCUCACUACAGAUCAGAGAACAACUAUUAAAGAACUAUAAAGUGCACAGAAAAAUCUACAUUGCUCCAAGUUUGUGGUCUGGGGGCCACAGGGUCUGAUU
ensembl:lncRNA